ACCUGUCCAAAACCGUAUAUCCGGGCAAAACCGUAUAGCGUAUGUAUUUCUGUUAAUAAUUCAAAUUUCCCGCGCCACUGCAGCUCAGCGGUGUCAACCAAUCACAGCUAUUUGUCAACAAACACUUGUCGCGACCGGCACGCGCGUUUUUUAAAUAUUUUAUUUUAUUGUUUUUUAGUGGUUUUUAUGUAAUUUAUGUGCAAUAAGAAGUGCCAAUCGUCAAAUUUACGUGUACAAUAGACAGAUGCCACGAUGCCUCGUGAUUAUAAAAGGACGACUAAUAGACAAUCGUGGGACACGGAAAACAUGAAAAAAGCUGUUCAAGCCGUGUUUGAUGGGACUAUGGGGUACUUCAAAGCUGCUCAAAUAUAUCAGGUGCCGAAAUCCAUACGGUAUACGGUUUUGUCCAUGCCCUGGGGCAAAACCGUAAAACGUAGAAGAAUUAUUUUUGCUAUUUUUUUUCAAUUUACGCUUUAAUUAUCUAAGGUAAAAUAUUGUGAUUGCGUACCUUAUGAGACUGGUUAAAAAUAAAUGUUGAUUUAGUA